rnacentral:other from 1 species
CGCUGGCCGAGACAUCACAGAUUCAACGGCUUGGGAGGUUUCGUGAAUCUGAGAGGUAAGCGCCGCGGCCUGCCUUUCCGGACCUGCCCUUCGCGUUUCCAGCUGCCCCUGCUCACCCCGGGCCCUGUACCCUCAGAUCAGUAACCUCGGUGCGCCCCCGUGCAGCGGCCUGUCGUUGGAUUGCCUCUGAGGUCCUGCCUGCCCGCCUGCUGACCGACUGACUGGCCUACGGCGCCGGCAAGAUGAAGCUGUCCCUGGUGGCUGCGGUGCUGCUG